rnacentral:rRNA from 1 species
GACGAACGCUGGCGGCGUGCCUAACACAUGCAAGUCGAACGAGAAUCUUUGAACAGAUCUUUUCGGAGUGACGUUCAAAGAGGAAAGUGGCGGACGGGCGAGUAACGCGUGAGUAACCUGCCCAUAAGAGGGGGAUAAUCCAUGGAAACGUGGACUAAUACCGCGUAUUGUAGUUAAGUUGCAUGACUUGAUUAUGAAAGAUUUAUCGCUUAUGGAUGGACUCGCGUCAGAUUAGAUAGUUGGUGAGGUAACGGCUCACCAAGUCAACGAUCUGUAGCCGAACUGAGAGGUUGAUCGGCCGCAUUGGGACUGAGACACGGCCCAGACUCCUACGGGAGGCAGCAGUGGGGAAUAUUGCGCAAUGGGGGCAACCCUGACGCAGCAACGCCGCGUGCAGGAAGAAGGUCUUCGGAUUGUAAACUGUUGUCGCAAG